rnacentral:rRNA from 1 species
GACGAACGCUGGCGGCGUGCCUAAUACAUGCGAGUCGAGCGCAGGAAGCCAUCCGAACCCUUCGGGGGGACGUGGAAGGAAGGAGCGGCGGACGGGGGAGUAACACGUAAAGAACCUGCCCACAGGACUGGGAUAACCACGAGAAAUCGGGGCUACUACCGGUUGGGUGAUCGGACCGCAUGGUCCGAGGGUGAAAGGCGCGCCGGCGGCGGCUGGGGAUGGCUGUGCGGUGCAUUAGCUAGCUGGUGGGGUAGUGGCACACCAAGGCUACGAUGGGUAGGCGGCCUGAGAGGGUGACCGGCGACAUUGGGACUGAGGUAGGGACCAGACUCCUACGGGAGGCAGGAGUGGGGAGUAUUGCAGAAUGGGGGGAAGCCUAAUGCAGCAACGCCGCGUGCGGGAUGACGGCCUUCGGGUUGUAAACCGCUUUCGCCUGUGACGAAGCGUGAGUGACGGUAAUGGGUAAAGAAGCACCGGCUAACUACGUG